rnacentral:rRNA from 1 species
UGGGGUGACUGCGUACCUUUUGUAUAAUGGGUCAGCGACUUGUAUUCUGUAGCAAGGUUAACCGUAUAGGGGAGCCGUAGGGAAACCGAGUCUUAACCGGGCGCUAAGUUGCAGGGUACAGACCCGAAACCCGGUGAUCUAGCCAUGGGCAGGUUGAAGGUUGGGUAACACUAACUGGAGGACCGAACCGACUAAUGUUGAAAAAUUAGCGGAUGACCUGUGGCUGGGGGUGAAAGGCCAAUCAAACCGGGAGAUAGCUGGUUCUCCCCGAAAGCUAUUUAGGUAGCGCCUCGUGAACUCAUCUCCGGGGGUAGAGCACUGUUUCGGCUAGGGGGCCAUCCCGGCUUACCAACCCGAUGCAAACUGCGAAUACCGGAGAAUGUUAUCACGGGAGACACACGGCGGGUGCUAACGUCCGUCGUGAAGAGGGAAACAACCCAGACCGCCAGCUAAGGUCCCGAAGUCAUGGUUAAGUGGGAAACGAUGUGGGAAGGCCCAGACAGCCAGGAUGUUGGCUUAGAAGCAGCCAUCAUUUAAAGAAAGCGUAAUAGCUCACUGGUCGAGUCGGCCUGCGCGGAAGAUGUAACGGGGCUAAACCAUGCACCGAAGCUGCGGCAGCGGCACGCAAGUGCCGUUGGGUAGGGGAGCGUUCUGUAAGCCGUCGAAGGUGGCCUGUGAGGGCUGCUGGAGGUAUCAGAAGUGCGAAUGCUGACAUAAGUAACGAUAAAGCGGGUGAAAAGCCCGCUCGCCGGAAGACCAAGGGUUCCUGUCCAACGUUAAUCGGGGCAGGGUGAGUCGACCCCUAAGGCGAGGCCGAAAGGCGUAGUCGAUGGGAAACGGGUUAAUAUUCCCGUACUUGGUGUUACUGCGAAGGGGGGACGGAGAAGGCUAUGUCAUCCGGGCGACGGUUGUCCCGGUUUAAGCGUGCAGGUGUGUGCUCCAGGCAAAUCCGGAGCGCUUUAACACUGAGGCGUGAUGACGAGGCGCUACGGCGCUGAAGUGACAAAUGCCCUGCUUCCAGGAAAAGCCUCUAAGCUCCAGGUAACACGAAAUCGUACCCGAAACCGACACAGGUGGUCAGGUAGAGAAUACCAAGGCGCUUGAGAGAACCCGGGUGAAGGAACUAGGCAAAAUGGUGCCGUAACUUCGGGAGAAGGCACGCUGGCGCGUAGGUGGAGGGACUCGCUCCCCGAGCCGAAGCCAGUCGCAGAUACCAGCUGGCUGCAACUGUUUAUUAAAAACACAGCACUGUGCAAACACGAAAGUGGACGUAUACGGUGUGACGCCUGCCCGGUGCCGGAAGGUUAAUUGAUGGGGUUAUCGCAAGAGAAGCUCCUGAUCGAAGCCCCGGUAAACGGCGGCCGUAACUAUAACGGUCCUAAGGUAGCGAAAUUCCUUGUCGGGUAAGUUCCGACCUGCACGAAUGGCGUAAUGAUGGCCAGGCUGUCUCCACCCGGGACUCAGUGAAAUUGAACUCGCUGUGAAGAUGCAGUGUACCCGCGGCAAGACGGAAAGACCCCGUGAACCUUUACUACAGCUUGACACUGAACAUUGAGCCUUGAUGUGCAGGAUAGGUGGGAGGCUAUGAAGCGUGGACGCCAGUCUGCGCGGAGCCAACCUUGAAAUACCACCCUUUAAUGUUUGAUGUUCUAACCUUGCGCCGUGAUCCGGCGCGGGGACAGUGUCUGGUGGGUAGUUUGACUGGGGCGGUCUCCUCCCAAAGCGUAACGGAGGAGCACGAAGAUGGGCUAAUCACGGUCGGACAUCGUGAGGUUAGUGCAAAGGCAUAAGCCCGUUUGACUGCGAGAGUGACGGCUCGAGCAGGUGCGAAAGCAGGUCUUAGUGAUCCGGUGGUUCUGAAUGGAAGGGCCAUCGCUCAACGGAUAAAAGGUACUCCGGGGAUAACAGGCUGAUACCGCCCAAGAGUUCAUAUCGACGGCGGUGUUUGGCACCUCGAUGUCGGCUCAUCACAUCCUGGGGCUGCAGCAGGUCCCAAGGGUAUGGCUGUUCGCCAUUUAAAGUGGUACGCGAGCUGGGUUUAGAACGUCGUGAGACAGUUCGGUCCCUAUCUGCCGUGGGCGCUGGAGAACUGAGGGGGGCUGCUCCUAGUACGAGAGGACCGGAGUGGACGCACCACUGGUGUACGGGUUGUCAUGCCAAUGGCACUGCCCGGUAGCUAAGUGCGGAAGAGAUAAGUGCUGAAAGCAUCUAAGCACGAAACUUGCCCCGAGAUGAGUUCUCCCUGACUCCUUGAGAGUCCUGAAGGGACGUUGAAGACGACGACGUUGAUAGGCCGGAUGUGUAAGCGCAGCGAUGCGUUGAGCUGACCGGUACUAAUGACCCGUGAGGCUUAACCUUACAACGCCAGAGGCGUUCUG